rnacentral:rRNA from 1 species
UACGGAGGAUUCAAGCGUUAUCCGGAUUUAUUGGGUUUAAAGGGUGCGCAGGCGGAGGUGCAAGUCAGUGGUCAAAUUGCGGGGCUCAACCCCGUACUGCCGUUGAAACUGCAUCCCUUGAGUGCGCGAGAAGUAUGCGGAAUGCGUGGUGUAGCGGUGAAAUGCAUAGAUAUCGCGCAGAACUCCGAUUGCGAAGGCAGCAUGCCGGCUCCACACUGACGCUGAUGCGCGAAAGCGUGGGGAGCAAACAGG